GCCGCGGUAGCUCAUCUGGUAGAGCGCGACAUUGGUAAUGUCGAGGUACCGAGUUCGAGUCUCGGCCGUGGCU
rnacentral:tRNA from 1 species